rnacentral:rRNA from 1 species
CAGAGGUCCCAAGCGUUGUUCGGAUUCACUGGGCGUAAAGGGUGCGUAGGUGGUUAGGUAAGUCGGAUGUGAAAUCUCCGAGCUCAACUCGGAAACUGCAUUGGAAACUACCUGGCUAGAGGGUUGAGGGGGGACUGGAAUACUUGGUGUAGCAGUGAAAUGCGUAGAUAUCAAGUGGAACACCAGUGGCGAAGGCGAGUCCCUGGACAACUCCUGACACUGAUGCACGAAAGCUAGGGGAGCAAACAGGAUUAGAUACCCUGGUAGUCCUAGCCGUAAACGGUGCACGUUUGCUGUAAAAGGAAUCGACCCCUUUUGUGGCGUAGCCAACGCGUUAAACGUGCCGCCUGGGAAGUACGGUCGCAAGAUUA